GCCUGGGUGGCUCAGUUGGCUGAGCAUCUGACUUUGGCUCAGGUCAUGAUCCCACAGGUUGCGGGUUUGAGCCCUGCAUUGGGCU
rnacentral:tRNA from 1 species